rnacentral:rRNA from 1 species
UACAGAGGUCUCAAGCGUUGUUCGGACUCAUUGGGCGUAAAGGGUGCGUAGGUGGUGGGGUAAGUCGGAUGUGAAAUCCCGGGGCUCAACCCCGGAACUGCAUUCGAAACUGCCUUGCUCGAGUACUGGAGAGGAGACUGGAAUUUACGGUGUAGCAGUGAAAUGCGUAGAUAUCGUAAGGAAGACCAGUGGCGAAGGCGAGUCUCUGGACAGUUACUGACACUGAGGCACGAAGGCCAGGGGAGCAAACGGG